rnacentral:rRNA from 1 species
CGGGAAACCGGGGCUAAACCGGAUGAGCUCCUUCGCAUGGGGGUGGUUGGAAAGUUUUUCGGUCAGGGAUGGGCUCGCGGCCUAUCAGCUUGUUGGUGGGGUGAUGGCCUACCAAGGCGACGACGGGUAGCCGGCCUGAGAGGGCGACCGGCCACACUGGGACUGAGACACGGCCCAGACUCCUACGGGAGGCAGCAGUGGGGAAUAUUGCACAAUGGGCGAAAGCCUGAUGCAGCGACGCCGCGUGAGGGAUGAAGGCCUUCGGGUUGUAAACCUCUUUCAGCAGGGAAGAAGCGCAAGUGACGGUACCUGCAGAAGAAGCGCCGGCUAACUACGUGCCAGCAGCCGCGGUAAUACGUAGGGCGCCAGCGUUGUCCGGAAUUAUUGGGCGUAAAGAGCUCGUAGGCGGUUUGUCGCGUCUGGUGUGAAAACUCGAGGCUCAACCUCGAGCUUGCAUCGGGUACGGGCAGACUAGAGUGCGGUAGGGGAGACUGGAAUUCCUGGUGUAGCGGUGGAAUGCGCAGAUAUCAGGAGGAACACCGAUGGCGAAGGCAGGUCUCUGGGCCGCAACUGACGCUGAGGAGCGAAAGCAUGGGGAGCGAACAGGAUUAGAUACCCUGGUAGUCCAUGCCGUAAACGUUGGGCACUAGGUGUGGGGCUCAUUCCACGAGUUCCGUGCCGCAGCAAACGCAUUAAGUGCCCCGCCUGGGGAGUACGGCCGCAAGGCUAAAACUCAAAGGAAUUGACGGGGGCCCGCACAAGCGGCGGAGCAUGCGGAUUAAUUCGAUGCAACGCGAAGAACCUUACCAAGGCUUGACAUGCACGGGAAGCCACCAGAGAUGGUGGUCUCUUUGGACACUCGUGCACAGGUGGUGCAUGGUUGUCGUCAGCUCGUGUCGUGAGAUGUUGGGUUAAGUCCCGCAACGAGCGCAACCCUCGUCCCAUGUUGCCAGCGGGUUAUGCCGGGGACUCAUGGGAGACUGCCGGGGUCAACUCGGAGGAAGGUGGGGAUGACGUCAAAUCAUCAUGCCCCUUAUGUCUUGGGCUUCACGCAUGCUACAAUGGCCGGUACAAAGGGCUGCGAUACCGUAAGGUGGAGCGAAUCCCAAAAAGCCGGUCUCAGUUCGGAUUGGGGUCUGCAACUCGACCCCAUGAAGUCGGAGUCGCUAGUAAUCGCAGAUCAGCAACGCUGCGGUGAAUACGUUCCCGGGCCUUGUACACACCGCCCGCCAAGUCACGAA